AAAUAAGAAGCAAAAAUUGCAUUUAGUUUCGACCUAAAAUUAUGAUCUUAGGAUCCUUAUUUU
rnacentral:tRNA from 1 species